rnacentral:rRNA from 1 species
UACGUAGGGUGCAAGCGUUAAUCGGAAUUACUGGGCGUAAAGCGUGCGCAGGCGGUCUUGCAAGACAGAUGUGAAAUCCCCGGGCUUAACCUGGGAACUGCAUUUGUGACUGCAAGGCUGGAGUACGGUAGAGGGGGAUGGAAUUCCGCGUGUAGCAGUGAAAUGCGUAGAUAUGCGGAGGAACACCGAUGGCGAAGGCAAUCCCCUGGACCUGUACUGACGCUCAUGCACGAAAGCGUGGGGAGCAAACAGG